AUGGCAACAAAUGUGGAAAACUCAGCAGUGGCCACAGGACUGGAAAAGGUCAGUUUUCCAAUCCCAAAGAAAGGAAAUGUAAAAGAAUGCUCAAACUACCACACAACUGCACUCAUCUCACAUGCUAGUAAAGAAAUGCCCAAAAUUCUCCAAGCCAGGCUUCAGCAAUGCAUGAAUCGUGAACUCCCUGAUGUUCAAGCUGGUUUUAGAAAAGGCAGAGGAACCAGAGAUCAAAUUGCCAACAUCCGCUGGAUCAUAGAAAAGGCAAGAGAAUUCCAGAAAAACAUCUAUUUCUGCUUUAUUGACUAUGCCAAAGCCUUUGACUGUGUGGAUCACAAUAAACUGUGGAAAAUUCUGCAAGAAAUGGGAAUACCAGACCACCUGACCUGCCUCUUGAGAAAUCUGUAUGCAGAUCAGGAAGCAACAGUUAGAAGGAGACAUGGAACAACAGACUGGUUCCAAAUAGGAAAAGGAGUACGUCAAGGAUGUAUAUUGUCACCCUGCUUAUUUAACUUCUAUGCAGAGUACAUCAGGAGAAACACUGGACUGGAAGAAACACAAGCUGAAAUCAAGAUUGCCGGGAGAAAUAUCAAUAACCUCAGAUAUGCAGAUGACACUAUCCUUUUGGCAGAAAGUGAAGAGGAGCUAAACAGCCUCUUGAUGAAAGUGAAAGAGGAGAGUGAAAAAGUUGGCUUAAAGCUCAACAUUCAGAAAAUGAAGAUCAUGGCAUCUGGUCCCAUCACUUCAUGGCAAAUAGAUGGGGAAACAGUGGAAACAGUGUCAGACUUUAUUUUGGGGGGCUCCAAAAUCACUGCAGAUGGUGACUGCAGCCAUGAAAUUAAAAGACACUUACUCCUUGGAAGAAACGUUAUGACCAACCUAGAUAGUAUAUUCAAAAGCAGAGACAUUACUUGGCCGACUAAGGUCUGUCUAGUCAAGGCUAUGGUUUUUCCUGUGGUCAUGUAUGGAUGUGAGAGUUGGACUGUGAAGAAGGCUGAGCGCUGA
rnacentral:lncRNA from 1 species